UACGUAGGGGGCGAGCGUUGUCCGGAAUUACUGGGCGUAAAGGGAGCGUAGGCGGUCGAUUAAGUUGGAUGUGAAAUACCCGGGCUUAACUUGGGGGGUGCAUCCAAUACUGGUUGACUAGAAUACAGGAGAGGAAAGCGGAAUUCCUAGUGUAGCGGUGAAAUGCAUAGAUAUUAGGAGGAACAUCGGUGGCGAAGGCGGCUUUCUGGACUGACACUGACGCUGAGGCUCGAAAGCGUGGGGAG
rnacentral:rRNA from 1 species